rnacentral:rRNA from 1 species
CGGACGGGUGAGUAACGCGUGGGUAACCUGCCCUGUACAGGGGGAUAACAGUUAGAAAUGACUGCUAACACCGCAUAAGCGCACGGUAAGGCAUCUUAGUGUGUGAAAAUAUUCAUAGGUACAGGAUGGGCCCGCGUCUGAUUAGCCAGUUGGCAGGGUAACGGCCUACCAAAGCGACGAUCAGUAGCCGGCUUGAGAGAGUGAACGGCCACAUUGGGACUGAGACACGGCCCAAACUCCUACGGAAGGCAGCAG